rnacentral:rRNA from 1 species
GAUGAACGCUGGCGGCGCGCCUAACACAUGCAAGUCGAACGAUUAAAGCACCUUCGGGUGGGUAUAAAGUGGCGAACGGCUGAGUAACACGUGGGCAACCUGCCCCUUUCAUUGGGAUAGCCACGGGAAACCGUGGAUAUUACCGAAUACUUCGACACUUCCGCAUGGAAGACGCGAGAAAGCUCCGGCGGUGAGGGAUGGGCCCGCGGCCUGUUAGCUUGUUGGUGGGGUAACGGCCUACCAAGGCAAUGAUGGGUAGCUGGGUUGAGAGAGCGACCAGCCAGAUUGGGACUGAGACACGGCCCAGACUCCUACGGGAGGCAGCAGUGGGGAAUCUUGCACAAUGGGCGAAAGCCUGAUGCAGCGACGCCGCGUGCGGGAUGAAGGCCUUCGGGUUGUAAACCGCUUUCAGCAGGGACGAGGCGAGAGUGACGGUACCUGCAGAAGAAGCCCCGGCUAACUACGUG